rnacentral:rRNA from 1 species
UACGUAGGCAGCAAGCGUUGUUCGGAAUUACUGGGCGUAAAGCGUGCGCAGGCGGUUUUGUAAGCCAGAUGUGAAAUCCCCGGGCUCAACCUGGGAAUGGCAUUUGGGACUGCAAGGCUGGAGUACGGCAGAGGAGACUGGAAUUCCUGGUGUAGCAGUGAAAUGCGUAGAUAUCAGGAGGAAUACCGAUGGCGAAGGCAGGUCUCUGGGCUGAUACUGACGCUCAUGCACGAAAGCGUGGGGAGCAAACAGG